rnacentral:rRNA from 1 species
AUUGAACGCUGGCGGCAGGCCUAACACAUGCAAGUCGAACGAGUGGCGGACGGGUGAGUAAUGUCUGGGAAACUGCCUGAUGGAGGGGGAUAACUACUGGAAACGGUAGCUAAUACCGCAUACCAUCGGAUGUGCCCAGAUGGGUGUAGCUAGUAGGUGGGGUAAAGGCUCACCUAGGCGACGAUCCCUAGCUGGUCUGAGAGGAUGACCAGCCACACUGGAACUGAGACACGGUCCAGACUCCUACGGGAGGCAGCAGUAGGGAAUAUGGCACAAUGGGCGCAAGCCUGAUCGAGCAACGCCGCGUGUGUGAAGAAGGCCUUCGGAUCGUAAAGCUCUGUCGGUGGGGAAGCGGUACCUGCAGAGAAAGCACCGGCUAACUACGUGCCAGCAGCCGCGGUAAUUC